UACAGAGGUCUCAAGCGUUGUUCGGAUUCAUUGGGCGUAAAGGGUGCGUAGGUGGCAUGGUAAGUCGGAUGUGAAAUCCCGGGGCUCAACCCCGGGCCUGCAGCCGAUACGGGCAAGCUAGAAUUCGGUAGGGGAGACUGGAAUUCCUGGUGUAGCGGUGAAAUGCGCAGAUAUCAGGAGGAACACCGGUGGCGAAGGCGGGUCUCUGGGCCGAAAUUGACGCUGAGGAGCGAAAGCGUGGGGAGCAAACAGG
rnacentral:rRNA from 1 species